rnacentral:lncRNA from 1 species
UGUUCUCUUUACUUUACUCUUUGCUUAAAUUUCCCUUUUUAUCCUUAAGUUCAACUACUCUGACAUUAGAACCCUAAUCUAUUACAAUCCCUCUUCUAUCAAAGCAACCUUGUCCUUAAGGUUGCAUCUGAGGCACAAACUAAGGGAAGCAAAUAUAGAUGGAACUCCAGUCCUCCCAAGUAGAUUCGUUCAUCCCAAGAUUCGCCUACUGGACCAACACCCAAAUUGAUGUUGUGUUGUUGACCUUCACUGUUCGCCAUCAUAAAAGGGCCAAUGAUUUCAUGAGUAUUUGUCCUUCACCAUUACAGCUAGGUGACUAUUGUUGGGAGCCUAUAUCUAGACCUAUGUUUCUUGAUCUAACAAAUAUGAAAUAUCAAGUGGAUCUGCGGCCUCAGUGAAAACUCCAAACUGUGAGCCACUACUCCAAUCUUUUCUAUUACUGUGUAGGAUCUAUAAUACUUUGCGUUUAGUUUUAGAUGUUAUCACACUUCUACUAAUGAUUUUUGAUAAGGUUGUAGUUUUAAGUAGACAUUAUCCCCCACUUGUAAUGACCUCUCCAAUCGGUGUUGGUCUGCGUAAAAUUUAUUCGAGCUUAAGCAACUUGUAAAUUAUCCUUGAGAUAUUGCAAGACUUUUUGUCUUUGGUCCACAUAAUCGAUCUCCUGCUUGAGUAUGUGUAGAGUGGGCCAAUGAACCCAUGGGAAUAUGUGGGGGCGAAUGCCCAUAUAAGGUCUCAAAUGGAGUAGUUUGUAGUUAAGUAUAGUUGGUAUUGUACCAAAAUUCAGUUAGAUGCAAUCACUUUGAAUACUAUUUAGGCUGACCAAAUACCAUAUCCCUUAGAUAUAUUUUCACACGUUUCUCGUGUCUCUCAUUCUGCUCAUCUGAUUAUAGAUGGUCGGCUGAAGUCAUAUUGAGCCUAAUUCUCAGCGACUUAAAUAUUUGGUUCCAGAAGAGGUUAGUAAAGUGGAGUUUCCAUUAGUGACAAUAGAUUGAGACAAUCCAUGUAGUCUAUAAUCUUUCUUAAGAACACAUCAUCCAUACAUUAUGCAGUGCAUAGAUAUUUCAGUGUGCUAAAAUGACCACUCUUGGUCAAUCUAUCCAUCACCACCAAAAUAGAGUCUUUAUGAUAUGAAUUGGGUACCUCUUCUAUAAUGUCCAUUCCAAUAUCCCUCCAAGGAGCUUAAGGAAUAGGCAAAGGCUGUAAGAAUUCUAGAUAGUAGACAUUUUCAUAUUUAACUCUCUGACAAAUGUCACACUCUCUCACCCCACUUGAAAAUAUCCUCCUUCAUAUUAGGCCAAUAAAAUAAUAUCUUAAUCCUUUUAUAAGUGGCAUGUUGGCCUAAUUGACCCCUAAAAAAUGAAAGAUGUAAGAUUUUCCAGAUUCUUAUCCUCAAGUCAGUUUCUUUUUCCACAAAGAGAUUUUUUAUGUAUCUGAUAAUAUUGUAAUACCUCGCAAAAUUCUCUCGUAGUCUGAUCCUUAGAGCGUGUUCAGUGAAGUGUUAAUCCAUCCCUAAAAGGUUGAGAAGUGUCUUUCCUAGUGAGAAGUAUUUUGAACUGUAUAGAAUUUUUCCAAUAUUGACUUUUUAUCAUAUAGAGAAUUAAAUAAGCUUUCCAUCGAUACUAAAUUCGCCUAAAUCUGACACUCGGGCGAAGAGUUAGAGCUAUUUUAGUGAGAUAGUGUGCCACCUGGCACUUUAGCGCGUCGCGAAGCCAGCCGAAAUGGCAAUCGUUAAAAUCCAGUGAGCCUCCGCGAUAAUGGCGCGUCGCGCCAAGGCUUAAUUUUAGAAUUGCCAAUUUACAGUGCACCAACGCGCUUUCACCGCGUUGCGGUGCCUUUCUAGUUCGCAACCAAGGUCGCAAUACGAUUUCCACCCCAUUGAGCUAUCAAGCAGUUUUAAGAUUGUCCAAUUUCCAGUGAGCUAGUGCGUCGCGCCAACAUGUAAAAUCGAGAUUUUUUAGUUUAAUUCCAAGGGUGAAAAGGGUCUUUUCCCAACCCCUGUAUAUACUCCUUAAUACGGAAUUUGGCCUAAUUUCACCCAAAAUAUCAUUAUUUUCUCUCAAAGUUGUUCAAGAACAAGAGCUAGGGUUUCUACAAAAUCAAAACCCUUCCUUCUUCUUCAAGAGAAAUCAAGAAUCUCUCCAAGAGCUUUCAAGAAAGAGUUUCUCCAAGGUAUGCAGAUGUUGAUUCUUGGGUCCCUUUCAUCCAAAAAGCUCAAGAACCCUUUUCUAAAUUUCAAAGCUUUUAUGUUUAUGAGUUUUCAUGAUUCAUGUGAGUUGAAAUUGAUGUUCAUGCUAUUAUUGAGUUGUGAUUCAUGUUUGCUUACAAGGUUUUCAAGCUUUGACCCUAGUAUGUAGUAUUCAUAUGAUGUUCAUGAUAAACCCUCUUUAAGUUGCUUGUUAAGUGGUGUGUUCAUGUCAAUUAAGUAUAAAAAUUGUUGAAUAAGCAAAGCAUGCUCCCCAUAUGCUUGAUAAAAUGCUUAUGUGAAUGAAUUAGAGCCAUUAUAGCAUAUUGACUAGAAAUCCCCAAUUAUGUGUAAGCCCAUGCAUGCCAAGUGUUUGUUGAAAAGCCUUAGUGAAUGAAUUGUGGCAUGAUAGCAUGAAAUUCUCUAAUUAUGUGCUCUUUGAUACAUGCUAAGACUUUAAUACAUACUAAGUGUUUGAUGAAUGAAUUGUAACAUGAUAGCAUGAAGUUCCCCAAUUAUGUGUUCUCCGGUACAUGCCAAGACUUAUAUAUGUGCGAAGUGCUUGAUGCAAGGCCUUGUUGAAUGGAGUAUGAUCCAAUAGCAUGUCCCCCUAUGUUAUUACAUGUUUAGGAUUCCUAAAUGCUUGAAGUGAUGCCUUAGUGAUUGUGAUGUUGAAUGAUUAUCCAUGGUUUUAAUUAUUCAAGAAUGGUUAUGUUUUACUUUUAUGUUAUCGAGUCUUGGGGGUAUUUAUACCCGACAAUUUAGCUGUUGUCUAGAGCCUGUGUCAGUUUUCAUGAUAAUUCCAGUUGAUCCAUGAUUCUCAGAACUCAGUGAUCUAUAUAGAACUCUGUAUUCUCAGACUGAUACAGAACUUAAGAAAUCUUAGUAAUAUCUGUAAUCGACGUAAUCUCAGUAUGGCUAGUAAUCUAGCCUCAGUUCUGUACUCAACUCAGAUCUAGUAGUAUUCAAGUGUUCAGUUCAGUCCUCAGUAGUAUUUGAGUAAUCUAUCUUGAGCUCAGUGUCAUCCAGUCAGAUAACGAGAUUCAGUAGUAUUCCGUCAGAUACGGAACCAAGUGAGUUUAUCUUAACUCAGUCAGAUCAUUUGAGAAACAUGAUCAGUAUCAGAUUCAGCUUAGUUUGUAUUCAGUUAAAAAUCAGUUCAGAGUCUUUCAGUUGGGAGUAGGAGAUAGCACCGAGCGAGGGCAGGGAUGACGGCUCUUCGUCAGAGAGUCAGAGUCGUUAGGAGCAAUCCCUGAAUUCUAGAACUGCGUAGCCAGCGCAGGAUGCAGGAGUCACCCGUCAGGAAAGGCUAGUCACCCGUCAGAUAAACUUGACCAUUAUAUUGCCUUAGGCUUGACUUCCUGCAAGGGUCACCCGUCAGAUUGGCUUGACCAGAGAGGGCGUUCACCAUGGAACGGUAUUGACACCCUUCCAGCUGGGGUUACAGGUUGGACCCCACCAGUUGAGAUUCGGGGCAUGUCAGUUAAGUGACUACUUCCCACAGUGUAAUUUUAGUAUCAUUCUUCAGAAAUCAGGACUGUCAGAUACAGUCAUCUAUCUCAGUAAGGAACUCAGAUAGUUUCAUUAAUUCAUGGACCACCCGUCAGAUAGGCUUGGUCCCAUAUAAAGUUAUUCAGUAUCAAAUCUAGAGAUCAUCCGUCAAAUAGGCUUGAUCUCAGUCUCAUAUUCAGUUGAGUAAUCUCAUUAUCAGAUCUAGAUAUCACUCGUCAGAUAGGCUUGAUCUCAGUCUCAAAUUAUCAGAUCUAGAGAUCACCCAUCAGAUAAGCUUGAUCUCAGUCUCAUAUUAAGUUGAGUAAUCUCAUUAUCAGAUCUAGAGAUCACCCGUCAGAUAGGCUUGAUCUCAGUCUCAGAUUCAGUUGAGUAUUCUUGUUGUCAGAUUCAGAAACGAUCAUUUCUUAUCAUUGAUAGUAAACUCCGAAAUCAUCCAUUAGAGAGGUUUGCUCUCUGAUGCAAUCAGUUAAGAGUAGAAAGCUUUGAAAUCAGUCAUUGAUAUGGGUAUAUUCAGUUAAUCAUCUUCAAUAUCCUCAGAUUCUGAGAUCACUCGCUAGAUAAGACUGAUCUCACCUCAGUACUCAUUUAUCAGUAUCAGAUGAUUUAGUUGUUUAGUAUCUCAGUAUUAGUAGUGAGUUCAGAUGUUAGUAAUGUAGUACUCGAGUUUCAAUACUCAGAGUCGUGAUGAUUGUGAUUAUGGUUUGUGCAUUCAUUCAUGUGUUCUCAUUCAGUACUCUCAUGAUUAUUCAGUGAAGUAAUUGUUCAUGCAUAAGCCAUUGCAUUUAGCCUUACCUCGUCUGCAUACUCGGUACAUUUCCGUACUUAAGCAUUUGUGCUAUGGUGUUUUAUUUGACACCAUAGGUUCAGAGGUACGAGAUCCAGAGUACCCUUAGCAGUUCAGUCUCAGUCAGCAGCAGUAGAUAUAGCAGUGAGUUCUCUUCAUUCGAGGAUGAUCCUUUUAUUAUUUUUGUAUCAAAUUUUAUUUAUUUUCAGUAGACGAAGUUAAUUGGGGACAUGUCCCAUCAACUCCACAGUUCAGACAGUUUAGAGGCUUUUCAGACAGAUGUAUCAAUAUUCAGUUUUCAAUUUUGAGUAUUUUUAGAUGUUUUGAACCUUAUGGCCAGUUUCUGCAUUUAUUAUAUAUAUUAUGCAGUGUUCAGGUACAGAUAUCAGUAGAGGAUUGGCUUAUGGUCCUCUGGGAUCAUGAGCACCAUGUGACGUUCUGGUUCCAAAAAAUCGAGUCGUUAUAGAUACUCUAGUACAAUGUGUAACUAUCCAUGUUGGUUGGUAUAGUGAUUAGUUUUAUGAUCACUAAGUAGGUUCCAAAGUAGUCAUAGUAGAUAGGUAUACUUUUUGUUCCUUCCUUCUAGAUAAAGCAUCAACAACCUUCUUUUCAGUUUCUUUUUUUUAUAUUGCACUUCAUAAUCCAACUCAGUAGCUUAGUGAGCCUUUUCUGUUAUAGUGCAGUAGUGACCCUUUUUUCUAGUAAAAACUUUAGACUAUAAUAGUCAAUCCUGAUAAUAAAAUAUCUCACUAUAAGGUAAUGUCUCCACCUAUCCACUGUAGAUAGAACUUUUAGGUACUCAUUUUCAUGUGUUGAUAACCCUCAGUUUCUAGGACUCAAUACCUUGCUAAAAUAGGCUAGGAGUCUACAGUCCUACAUCAAUACUGCUUCAAUCCCUUUAUCACAAGCAUUAGUCUCUGCUAUAAAAGGCUUAGAAAAGUCAGUCAAGGAGAAGACAGGUAUAAUAGUCAUGGCCUCUAUCAACUCUUGAAAAGCACUAUCAGCCUCUAUACUCCAGUUAAAUAAAUUCUUCUUCAAUAAGGUAGUGAGAAAUUUGCCAAUCCACUCAUAAUUUUGAACAAACCUCAUGUAAUAGCCAGUAAGUCUCAAGAAAUUGGAGUUUUGGGUACAUUCCAAAUUACCAUAGCCUCGAUCUUAGCAAAGUUUGUUUUCACUUCUUAACCGGUAAUGAUGUUUCCUGAAUACUCCACCCUAUCUUGUCUAGUUGCACACUUGAAAUUUUUAGCAUACAAUUAUUAUUUUCUAAGAACCUGCAGUACCUUUCUCAGAUGUUCACAUGUUUUUUAAUAUUAGUGCUACGUACAAGAGUAUCAUAAAAAAACUAGAACAAACUACCUCAAAUAGUUUUGAACACAUCCUUCAUUAGAUAUUAAAAUGCGGUAGAAGCAUUGGUCAGGCAAAAAGCAUCACCUUAAACUUAGAAUUCCCCAUAUGUGUCCUGAAGGCAGCUUUAUGAAUGUUUGGUUCAUUCAUCUUUAUUUAAUGGUAGUCAACCCUUAGGUUAAUAUUAGAAAACACCACAGCUCCCUGGAGUACAUCUAAUAGAUCAUCCAUAAGAGAAAUUGAGAAUUUUUCCUUCACAAUCAUGUUGUUUAAUUCUUUAUAGUCCACACAAAACCUUCAAGUACUAUCUUUCUUCUUGACCGACAACGCAAGAGAUGAUAAAAGCAAAUGGUCGAAUUAAAUAAUUUCAUUGUCUAACAUUUUCUUUACUUGAUUUUUUAUUUUAUUUUUCUAGCAAAAGUUAUAUCUAUAGGGCCUAAUACUCAUAAAAAUUGUUUCAGAUUUCAAGAAAAUAAAAUGGCCGUGUUGUCUCUUAGGAGGCAAGGUGGUAGGCUCCUAAAAACAUCUACAAAUUCUUCCAAGAUUGUGUUUAUUACCAAAGACAAAUUUUGUUGCUCUUUUUUUGUAAGGCUAUUAUAGUAAACAAAUGUCCCCAUAUAAACUUGCCCGUCCUCGAUAGUUGUUUCACAUUAUUAGUUGUCAUGCUCUAAGAUUAAUUUACACUUUAAUUUCUUUCUAUUUUAAUUUCUUAAAUUCUCCCAACAAAUUCAGCACACUAUUGGUGAAAUUUAUAAGUCUCGUACAAAUUUUUUCAAUGAAUUUUGUCCAACUAAUGGUUCUCUUACUUAGAUGGUAGAAAAAAAUACCAUGACUCUACUCUUCCAUUAAGACGGAGAACAAUAAUUUCUAGCUUCUCUUCA